AGAGUUUGAUCAUGGCUCAGAACGAACGCUGGCGGCGUGCCUAACACAUGCAAGUCGAACGAGAAAGGGGCUUCGGCUCCGAGUAAAGUGGCGCACGGGUGAGUAACACGUGGGUAACCUGCCUCUAAGAUUGGGAUAACUCGUCGAAAGAUGAGCUAAUACCGAAUAAGACCACAGUUCCUGCGGGAACAGGGGUCAAAGGUAGCCUCUGCUUGCAAGCUAUCACUUAGAGAUGGGCCUGCGCACCAUUAGCUAGUUGGUAGGGUAACGGCCUACCAAGGCAAAGAUGGUUAGCUGGUCUGAGAGGAUGAUCAGCCACACUGGAACUGAGACACGGUCCAGACUCCUACGGGAGGCAGCAGUGGGGAAUAUUGCGCAAUGGGCGAAAGCUUGACGCAGCAACGCCGCGUGAGUGAUGAAGGCCUUCGGGUCGUAAAGCUCUGUCGGGAGGAACGAAUGCUCCUGAGGUUAACAGCCUCGGGAGGUGACGGUACCUUCAAAGGAAGCACCGGCUAACUCUGUGCCAGCAGCCGCGGUA
rnacentral:rRNA from 1 species